GACGAACGCUGGCGGCGUGCUUAACACAUGCAAGUCGAACGAAGAGCGAUGGAAGCUUGCUUCUAUCAAUCUUAGUGGCGAACGGGUGAGUAACGCGUAAUCAACCUGCCCUUCAGAGGGGGACAACAGUUGGAAACGACUGCUAAUACCGCAUACGAUCCRAUCUCGGCAUCGAGACUGGAUGAAAGGUGGCCUCUAUUUAUAAGCUAUCACUGAAGGAGGGGAUUGCGUCUGAUUAGCUAGUUGGAGGGGUAACGGCCCACCAAGGCGAUGAUCAGUAGCCGGUCUGAGAGGAUGAACGGCCACAUUGGGACUGAGACACGGCCCAGACUCCUACGGGAGGCAGCAGUGGGGAAUCUUCCGCAAUGGACGAAAGUCUGACGGAGCAACGCCGCGUGAGUGAUGACGGCCUUCGGGUUGUAAAGCUCUGUUAAUCGRGACGAAUGGUUCUUGUGCRAAUAGUGCGAGGAUUUGACGGUACCGGAAUAGAAAGCCACGGCUAACUACGUGCCAGCAGCCGCGGUAAUACGUAGGUGGCAAGCGUUGUC
rnacentral:rRNA from 1 species